GCUCUGCCCUGGGAGCAGGCUGGCUGGCGGGAGACAGAAAGAGAGGCCAGAGUUCAGACGAGGCGUCAGCUUUGACUUGGACCUGGGGCCAGGGCGCAAAAGAAAUUGCUGGAAAAAAUUAAUUGCAUUUUCAUUAUGUUGACUGGCAGCAGAGUCAAAGGGGAGAGCCCAGAGCGGCGAUGAGUGGAGCAGACAGACAAAUGACAUGGAUAUAGGCGCUUAUUUUUUACCCUCCAAAGCGAGCCGGCAGGACAGGACAGUGCAGAAGUGGGUGGGAUGGGGUGAACUGGAAUUGAAUGGCGUAGGACGAUGGGAAGGACUAAACUGUCGUUAGCUUCAAUUUGGUUUAUGGCAAUGUGUAAACGAAAGUGGAACUUGGAUGAGAUUAAUGUAUGAGAUAAAGAAUGAAGACAUCAUAUGGC
rnacentral:lncRNA from 1 species